CUUCAGCGACCCCAGCCACAGCGGACGGCCCUCCGGCCGCCCCUGCCCGUACGUCGCCACGAUCGCCUGCGCCUC
rnacentral:antisense_RNA from 1 species